rnacentral:rRNA from 1 species
UACGGGGGGGGCUAGCGUUGUUCGGAAUUACUGGGCGUAAAGCGCGCGUAGGCGGACCUGCAAGUCGGGGGUGAAAGCCCGAGGUUCAACCUCGGAACUGCCUUCGAUACUGCGGGUCUCGAGUCCGGGAGAGGUGAGUGGAAUUCCUAGUGUAGAGGUGAAAUUCGUAGAUAUUAGGAAGAACACCAGUGGCGAAGGGGGCUCACUGGCCCGUUACUGAUGCUGAGGCGCGAAAGCGUGGGGAGCACACAGG